rnacentral:rRNA from 1 species
ACGAACGCUGGCGGCGUGCUUAACGCAUGCCAGUCGCACGGAAAGGCCCUGCUUUUGUGGGGUGCUCGAGUGGCGAACGGGUGAGUAACACGUGAGUAACCUGCCCUUGACUUUGGGAUAACUUCAGGAAACUGGGGCUAAUACCGGAUAGGAGCUCCUGCUGCAUGGUGGGGGUUGGAAAGUUUCGGCGGUUGGGGAUGGACUCGCGGCUUAUCAGCUUGUUGGUGGGGUAGUGGCUUACCAAGGCUUUGACGGGUAGCCGGCCUGAGAGGGUGACCGGCCACAUUGGGACUGAGAUACGGCCCAGACUCCUACGGGAGGCAGCAGUGGGGAAUAUUGCACAAUGGGCGGAAGCCUGAUGCAGCAACGCCGCGUGCGGGAUGACGGCCUUCGGGUUGUAAACCGCUUUCGCCUGUGACGAAGCGUGAGUGACGGUAAUGGGUAAAGAAGCACCGGCUAACUACGUG